rnacentral:rRNA from 1 species
AAAAAAGGUAAGCUACUAAGAGCGAAUGGUGGAUGCCUUGACUGGUAAAGGCGAUGAAGGACGUACUAGACUGCGAUAAGCUACGGGGAGCUGUCAAGAAGCUUUGAUCCGUAGAUUUCCGAAUGGGGCAACCCAAUGUAUAGAGAUAUACAUUACCUAUAUAGGAGCGAACGAGGGGAAUUGAAACAUCUUAGUACCCUCAGGAAAAGAAAUCAAUAGAGAUUGCGUCAGUAGCGGCGAGCGAAAGCGUAAGAGGGCAAACCCAGUGCUUGCACUGGGGGUUGUAGGACUGCAAUGUGCAAGAGGUGAGUUUAGCAGAACAUUCUGGAAAGUAUAGCCAUAGAGGGUGAUAGUCCCGUAUGCGAAAAACAAACCUUAGCUAGCAGUAUCCUGAGUAGGGCGGGACACGAGAAAUCCUGUCUGAAGCUGGGUCGACCACGAUCCAACCCUAAAUACUAAUACCAGAUCGAUAGUGCACAAGUACCGUGAGGGAAAGGUGAAAAGAACUGAGGUGAUCAGAGUGAAAUAGAACCUGAAACCAUUUGCUUACAAUCAUUCAGAGCACUAUGUAGCAAUACAGUGUGAUGGACUGCCUUUUGCAUAAUGAGCCUGCGAGUUGUGGUGUCUGGCAAGGUUAAGCAAACGCGAAGCCGUAGCGAAAGCGAGUCUGAAUAGGGCGCUUAGUCAGAUGCUGCAGACCCGAAACGAAGUGAUCUAUCCAUGAGCAAGUUGAAGCUAGUGUAAGAACUAGUGGAGGACUGAACCCAUAGGCGUUGAAAAGCCCCGGGAUGACUUGUGGAUAGGGGUGAAAGGCCAAUCAAACUUCGUGAUAGCUGGUUCUCUCCGAAAUAUAUUUAGGUAUAGCGUUGUGUCGUAAUAUAAGGGGGUAGAGCACUGAAUGGGCUAGGGCAUACACCAAUGUACCAAACCCUAUCAAACUCCGAAUACCUUAUAUGUAAUCACAGCAGUCAGGCGGCGAGUGAUAAAAUCCGUCGUCAAGAGGGAAACAACCCAGACUACCAGCUAAGGUCCCUAAAUCUUACUUAAGUGGAAAACGAUGUGAAGUUACUUAAACAACCAGGAGGUUGGCUUAGAAGCAGCCAUCCUUUAAAGAAAGCGUAAUAGCUCACUGGUCUAGUGAUUUUGCGCGGAAAAUAUAACGGGGCUAAAGUAAGUACCGAAGCUGUAGACUUGCGCACAACUUAGAUUAUUUAAGUUUAGAAUAUGAGAAACUAAGUUAUAUGUUUAGUUAUAUUUUUACUGAUUUUUAUAGAGUAAAGAUAGAAAUAAAACUUAGUAAAAUCAGUAAAAAUAUUCUUAGACUAAAGUUAAGUAGUUUAAGUUGUGUGCAAGUGGUAGGAGAGCGUUCUAUUUGCGUCGAAGGUAUACCGGUAAGGAGUGCUGGAGCGAAUAGAAGUGAGCAUGCAGGCAUGAGUAGCGAUAAUUAAUGUGAGAAUCAUUAACGCCGUAAACCCAAGGUUUCCUACGCGAUGCUCGUCAUCGUAGGGUUAGUCGGGUCCUAAGUCGAGUCCGAAAGGGGUAGACGAUGGCAAAUUGGUUAAUAUUCCAAUACCAACAUUAGUGUGCGAUGGAAGGACGCUUAGGGCUAAGGGGGCUAGCGGAUGGAAGUGCUAGUCUAAGGUCGUAGGAGGUUAUACAGGCAAAUCCGUAUAACAAUACUCCGAGAACUGAAAGGCUUUUUGAAGUCUUCGGAUGGAUAGAAGAACCCCUGAUGCCAUCGAGCCAAGAAAAGUUUCUAAGUUUAGCUAAUGUUGCCCGUACCGUAAACCGACACAGGUGGGUGGGAUGAGUAUUCUAAGGCGCGUGGAAGAACUCUCUUUAAGGAACUCUGCAAAAUAGCACCGUAUCUUC